GCUUCGGUGGCGAAACAGGUAAACGCGAAGCUCUCAAAAAGCUUUGUCAUAUUGACGUGAGGGUUCGAUUCCCUCCCGAAGCA
rnacentral:tRNA from 1 species